AAUGAAGUGCCUGAGUAAAGGGGAUUAUCUUGAUAGGAUAAAUUAAGUAAAUCAAUUUACCUUCAUUA
rnacentral:tRNA from 1 species